rnacentral:rRNA from 1 species
GUUUGAUCAUGGCUCAGGAUGAACGCUAGCGGCAGGCCUAAUACAUGCAAGUCGAGGGGUAAGGCUCAUUUCGGUGAGUACACGACCGGCGCACGGGUGCGUAACGCGUAUGCAACCUACCUUUAACAGGGGGAUAGCCCCGAGAAAUCGGGAUUAACACCCCAUAAUACUAUAAAGUGGCAUCACUUAAUAGUUAAAACUCUGGUGGUUAAAGAUGGGCAUGCGUGACAUUAGCUGGUUGGUGAGGUAACGGCUCACCAAGGCUACGAUGUCUAGGGGUUCUGAGAGGAUGAUCCCCCACACUGGUACUGAGACACGGACCAGACUCCUACGGGAGGCAGCAGUAAGGAAUAUUGGUCAAUGGACGCAAGUCUGAACCAGCCAUGCCGCGUGCAGGAAGACAGCCUUAUGGGUUGUAAACUGCUUUUAUACAGGAAUAAACCAUCCUACUUGUAGGGUGCUGAAGGUACUGUAAGAAUAAGCACCGGCUAACUCCGUGCCAGCAGCCGCGGUAAUACGGAGGGUGCAAGCGUUAUCCGGAUUUAUUGGGUUUAAAGGGUGCGCAGGCGGACCUAUCAGUCAGUGGUGAAAUCCCGGGGCUCAACCUCGGAACUGCCAUUGAUACUGUAGGUCUUGAGUUUGGUUGAAGUGGGCGGAAUGUAGCAUGUAGCGGUGAAAUGCAUAGAUAUGCUACAGAACACCGAUCGCGAAGGCAGCUCACUAAACCAAAACUGACGCUCAGGCACGAAAGCGUGGGUAGCGAACAGGAUUAGAUACCCUGGUAGUCCACGCCGUAAACGAUGAUCACUCGUUGUUGGCGACACACAGUCAGCGACCAAGCGAAAGCGAUAAGUGAUCCACCUGGGGAGUACGUUCGCAAGAAUGAAACUCAAAGGAAUUGACGGG